rnacentral:rRNA from 1 species
AUUGAACGCUGGCGGCAUGCCUUACACAUGCAAGUCGAACGGUAACAGGUCUUCGGAUGCUGCCGAGUGGCGAACGGGUGAGUAAUACAUCGGAACGUGCCCGAUCGUGGGGGAUAACGGAGCGAAAGCUUUGCUAAUACCGCAUACGAUCUACGGAUGAAAGCAGGGGACCGCAAGGCCUUGCGCGGACGGAGCGGCCGAUGGCAGAUUAGGUAGUUGGUGGGAUAAAAGCUUACCAAGCCGACGAUCUGUAGCUGGUCUGAGAGGACGACCAGCCACACUGGGACUGAGACACGGCCCAGACUCCUACGGGAGGCAGCAGUGGGGAAUUUUGGACAAUGGGCGAAAGCCUGAUCCAGCCAUGCCGCGUGCAGGAUGAAGGCCUUCGGGUUGUAAACUGCUUUUGUACGGAACGAAAAGACUCUUUCUAAUAAAGAGGGUCCAUGACGGUACCGGAAGAAUAAGCACCGGCUAACUACGUG